rnacentral:tRNA from 1 species
AUUUAAAUAGCUUAAAAAUUAAAGAGUGUGAUAUUGAAGAUAUUAAGGUAAUUAUAUAUAAUUUUUGAAUA